rnacentral:rRNA from 1 species
CCUACGGGCGGCUGCAGUGGGGAAUAUUGGACAAUGGGCGAAAGCCUGAUCCAGCCAUGCCGCGUGUGUGAAGAAGGCCUUCGGGUUGUAAAGCACUUUCAGUGGGGAAGAAAGCCUUGGGGCUAAUACCCUCGAGGAAGGACAUCACCCACAGAAGAAGCACCGGCUAACUCCGUGCCAGCAGCCGCGGUAAUACGGAGGGUGCGAGCGUUAAUCGGAAUUACUGGGCGUAAAGCGCGCGUAGGCGGUCUGAUAAGCCGGUUGUGAAAGCCUCGGGCUCAACCUGGGAACGGCAUCCGGAACUGUCAGGCUAGAGUGCAGGAGAGGAAGGUAGAAUUCCCGGUGUAGCGGUGAAAUGCGUAGAGAUCGGGAGGAAUACCAGUGGCGAAGGCGGCCUUCUGGACUGACACUGACGCUGAGGUGCGAAAGCGUGGGUAGCAAACAGGAUUAGAUACCCCUGUAGUC